UGUUUUACUUAAGAAGGAUAGGUAAAUGCUGCAUUUAUAUAGUUUUGAAUCCUUAGUUUGGCAUCUUCUGGCUCAUGUUAAAUAUUUUUUAUUUUUUAAUUUUGGCAAUUCUAGGCUGAUUUGAGAAAUUAGUUUCAAUUUUAGCCAACUGAUCAAAAUUGAAUAAAAAUAAUAUUUUGCUACUAAUUGGAAUAACUUUUUAUUUUAAAAAAUAAAUUUCCCCCUUUCCUCACUUUCUCUUUCCUCACCAUUCCUCUCCCUCUCUCUGUCCAUCACCACUUGCCGCCCCCACUCUUUUCUACCUCUUGACUCCUGGGAAACCAGCAGUUGGUUUUGGUAUUCAUGCUAUUUGUCUUUUCUGAUUGGAAAUGGUUAAGCUUUGCAGAUUCACCUGAACCAGUAGCCAUCCUUCCAACAUGUUCCACAUUUUCCCACAGAAAUCUUUGUGCAGUCAUUCCCUGGUCUUGAUACUUAAAUUGGUUCUAGAGCCCUCGAGGAGCAUGCAGUAUUGAGGUGCUUGCAGCAAUAGAUUCUUGCAUCAAUCAUUGUUUUUAUAGAAUGGAUGCCAAUCUAUUUAUCCCUAUUUCAGUGAUCCUCUUUCAACCCUGGACCUUAAACUUAGGCAAGUCAUGGGCAAGGCCAUGGGAGAUUGCUAUUAAAACAGAUUAAGUCAAGUCAGAGGAGUUCUUGGUUGACAAUUAUUCCAUUCUGCUGCAAAGCACAAAUCCUAUCUGGCUCCAUGAAACUCUCCUACCUUCAAAGAUUUAAGCCUUGGGCACUUGGAAUUAAGUAUUUCCACUGCUGGCCAAAUAUCCCUAGCAUUGUGGCAAACAUCAAGAAUUGAUUUUUCAAGCAAUGGGAAUCCAGCAAACAAGUCUGUAAGUGUAGCAUGGUUGAUUUCCCCAAGGGUGGAAGGAGAGAGAG
rnacentral:misc_RNA from 1 species